UAUUCACUGAUUUUUCCACAGUUUCUCGCGCGUCAGGGAUUUUAUUGAGAGUAUAUGGAUCUCUUGCUCUAGCUUGAAAACUGCGCAACACUUGCUCCAUCUUUAUCUCUCUCAUACUCCAGGCGACGGGUGUACCGUUUUAUAACAUAUACUUGUUUUUUCUACGUAUCGUCGACAGCGAUGUGUACAUGGGGCUUACAUAGGUGCUAUGUAGAAAACUAUGUAUAAAUAUAAAAAUGGGAUCAUCGAAUCGCGCCAUUCUAGAAUCGAAAUUUUUCAAGCUGACCCCAAGAAAACGAGGCGAAAGUGUUUUGGUUUCUCUGACCCUCAUCUCAGUGAGCCACCGUUCCUUGCAGAGACCCUGCGAAUGAAGAACGCCAUUUUCUGCCUCACUUUUUUCGAGAAAAUCUCAUUGGAACACCGCCCUACGAGUUGGAUAUCGAGGCAGUUCUGUCGAUAUUCGUGGGAGUAUCAGCAACUUUUGUUUUGCAUAACUCGCUCCUCAGAUCGUGCCCAUUUCGUCAUCAGUCCCGUUACAAAGUGCUUGUGUAUCACACGCGUUUGUCUAUAUCUAUUUCAUAUUACAAGUCUGGUUUUCAGACGUGGGGAAAAUGAAUCUAAUGCGUCCUGGCGACGCGGAGAGUGUCCACCGGGCAGGUAUAUAUACCGGUCUACCGGACACUGCAGCUCUCAAACGAGCGAUCACGCGCCAGCCAUGCACACUGCAUACUUCUCUUCUCCUGCAGCAUAUAACGACCGAUAUACAUGUACUUUCGAACACGAGGCUUUUCGCAUCGGCUUGACCAACUGCUCAAUCGAUUUUUUCAUCUUUGUAAAAGACGAUGCGAAAAAAUAAGAUUCUUGAAAAGAAGUUUUGUUCCGGAACACUUGAAUCCUCGGCUUGAAGCGUCUCUUUAAAAAGUAAGAAAAAAAUCUGUUUUCAGCCAGUCGGAGUCCCCAGAAUUUUCAGGCUCGAAAAAAUUUGCCUGUUUCCCAAACAUUGCUCAAAACACCGCGCGAUGUUUUGAAUUGAAAUGAGCCCCACCUUCAUCGUGUUUAUGACGAAACUCGGAUCUCCAGAGUUUAGGUAAACAGACAAAAGUACAGGAAGUAACCGGAAACUUUAUUGCGAUUCCGGGGAUAAAAAGUGGAUGCUGAGAAGAAAAAUCGUUGAUGAGAUUCCCCGCGGGAAAAGGAGCGCGCAAGAGGCGAUUUGGCGUUGAACGGUUCGUGCGUGGAUAUCCACAAGGUGCAUGACGCGGAGCUAAGGAUUAUUGCGUAAGGCAAUGUGAAGCAGGAGCAAGAGAGCAAGGCGAGUUGCUGGACUGAUGCUUCUGUACGAGGUUGUGUUUCAUGUUCUAUUAGGCGGUGAGCUCUCCAUGUGCGCCCAUCAUAUCCGUGUUCCGUGAGAAGCAACUUCUUCCCCAUCAACCUACUUAGACUUCCUUACGUACGAGCGAUAUCUUGAUAUUAAAAUGCGGCUCUUCGAUCCCAGACAAAGAAUUCACUGAUCGACUAUUCUGAAGAAUCGCAACGCCGCAACAAAAGUACCCACCAUUUGGUUCAACUACAGUUGAUAAUCGUGCUACCGAAACGACAAUGCGCCACGAUAUACGUACAGGUUUAUAUGGCGAUUAAUACGUACGUGGGAACGCGGACGAUUAGCGGAAUUUCCAUCGCGGGCGCGUCUCGAUAUCUGUUGCACACUCCGUAGCAGUUAAAGAUAUACAAGUAAUCUGCAUUGUAUAUAGUUAUAUGCAUAAAUAUCUGCAUGUACAUCGUUUGAAAGCGAGAGCGCGGUCGAGGCCAAGCCAUAAAACCCAUUGCUGAAGAUCGACGCGCAGAUAUACGAAUAACGAGACACAGAAUCGUCCCAUGUGCUUUCACUAUUAACUAUCAUUUUUGUUUCUUUUUUUUUUCAUUCAAACGAAGCUCAACGACCGCUUCAAAUUUAAACAUAUCGUUAUGGCCAACUGCUUAAAUGAAGCUUGAACAAGUACCCAUUCAAUGUGAAAUACAUCGCUUCUGCUAUUCCAAUAUUUUCUUUCAU
rnacentral:lncRNA from 1 species